rnacentral:rRNA from 1 species
AAUCAACGCUGGCGGCGUGCCUCAGACAUGCAAGUCGAACGCGAAAGUCCCCUUCGGGGGGACAAGUAGAGUGGCGCACGGGUGAGUAACACGUAGGUAAUCUACCUUCGGAUGGGGAAUAACAACCGGAAACGGUUGCUAAUACCGCAUAAUGCAGCGGCACCUAAUGGUGACAGUUGUUAAAGCGGGGGAUCGUAAGACCUCGCGUCUGAAGAGGAGCCUGCGGCGGAUUAGCUAGNGGUAAGGUAAUGGCUUACCAAGGCGACGAUCCGUAACCGGCCUGAGAGGGCGGUCGGUCACACUGACACUGACAUACGGGUCAGACUCCUACGGGAGCAGCAGUCGGGAAUUUUGGGCAAUGGGCGAAAGCCUGACCCAGCAACGCCGCGUGAAGGAUGAAAUCCCUCGGGAUGUAAACUUCGCAAGAACGGGAAGAAUAAGUAGGGGACAAUACCCCCUACGAUGACGGUACCGUUUGUAAGCUCCGGCUAACUCCGUGCCAGCAGCCGCCGC